rnacentral:rRNA from 1 species
CCUACGGGGGGCAGCAGUGGGGGAUAUUGCACAAUGGGGGGAACCCUGAUGCAGCGACGCCGCGUGGGUGAAGAAGCGCCUCGGCGCGUAAAGCCCUGUCAGCAGGGAAGAAAAUGACGGUACCUGAAGAAGAAGCCCCGGCUAACUACGUGCCAGCAGCCGCGGUAAUACGUAGGGGGCAAGCGUUAUCCGGAUUUACUGGGCGUAAAGGGGGCGCAGACGGCGAUGCAAGCCAGGAGUGAAAGCCCGGGGCCCAACCCCGGGACUGCUCUUGGAACUGCGUGGCUAGAGUGCAGGAGGGGCAG